AGUGAACGCUGGCGGCAGGCCUAGCACAUGCAAGUCGAACGGCAGCACAGGGGAGCUUGCUCCCUGGGUGGCGAGUGGCGGACGGGUGAGGAAUACAUCGGAAUCUGCCUACCUGUGGGGGAUAACCUCGGGAAACCGGGACUAAUACCGCAUACGACCUACGGGUGAAAGCCGGGGACCUUCGGGCCUGGCGCGGAUGGAUGAGCCGAUGUCGGAUUAGCUAGUUGGCGGGGUAAAGGCCCACCAAGGCGACGAUCCGUAGCUGGUCUGAGAGGAUGAUCAGCCACACUGGAACUGAGACACGGUCCAG
rnacentral:rRNA from 1 species